rnacentral:rRNA from 1 species
GUACACGCUGUGACUAGCAUAUCAAUAAGCGGAGGAAAAGAAACUAACAAGGAUUCCCCUAGUAACGGCGAGUGAAGCGGGAAGAGCUCAAAUUUGAAAUCUUAAAGGGUUUCCCUUUACGAAUUGUAGUUUAAAGAAGUGUUUUCUGUUGAGGUUUUGGUAAAAGUUCUUUGGAAUAGGACAUCAUAGAGGGUGAGAAUCCCGUAUUUGACCUUUACUUUCAACUUUGUGAUACACUUUCAAAGAGUCGGAUUGUUUGGGAAUGCAGUCCAAAAUGGGUGGUAAAUUUCAUCUAAAGCUAAAUAUUGGCGAGAGACCGAUAGCGAACAAGUACCGUGAGGGAAAGAUGAAAAGAACUUUGAAAAGAGAGUUAAACAGUACGUGAAAUUGUCAAAAGGGAAGCGUUUGACACCAGUGUUGUUUUUCUGAAAAUCAAUUAAAGAACUGUUUAUGCUAAGUUGUUUAGACUUUAUCAGCUAACUGUUUAGUUUUGAGCUUUUCUUUAAUGCACUUUUCAGUUAACAAGUCAACAUCAAUUUCUUUUGCUGUAAAAAAGCUUGAGGAAGGUGGCUUGAGAUUCGUCUUAAGUGUUUAUAGCCUCUUGCCUAUGCAGUCGGAGAGAUUGAGGUCUGCAGCGUAGAUCCUUCGAGGCUAAAUGCAUUUGUGCUAAGUUAUAACAUUUUAGAGACAACUUGUUGACUAUGAUUUGUCUUGUAGCUUACUCGCUUAUGUUAUUUUACCUACGCUUAGGAUGUUGACGCGCGUGUGUGCGUG